rnacentral:lncRNA from 1 species
CCUCCAGGUUCAACAGGCAGAGCAGGAAAGCCAAGAAACAGCAUCCUUCGCUAAGUAGCCCGGGGGCAUUAUCAAGCACUAGAGACUAGAGAGUGCGCUUGAGUAAUUGCAGUGAGACUAGAUUUGUAUCCCAGAAAAUGACCGAUUUUAAUUUGGUACAAUAAACUAUCUCCAGAUGUUGCAACAUUGCAAGAGAUGGACCUGAGACUUGAAGAUUUAUCAAAUCGUAACAGCCUUGCACUACUAGUCACACAAACAAGCAAUGGGUAGUUUGUGCAAGUAGAAUUUCAAGAAUUUUGCCGGACACAUUUCACGCCCAUCAAACUCAGGGUUCUGAGGGAAUUGAACUCAACAGAUUCACCAGCAUGACCGCUCAGGCCAAUGGAGUCAAGUGAAAAAGUAUACGCGUUAAAGUAACAACGAAACAGCUCGUCAAACUCUUAACAAGUCCAAUUCUAGCCAAUCAACUCGCCAUGCAAAGGCAUACUGAAGCCACUGGUCAAUGUUCAUGGGAAUGUCUGUCCAAAUCAAAACAAACCCUGAAUUCAUCAAGCAAUGUCAAGGAUUUGUGUGAUAUAUAGCAGCACAUUGUUCACCCGCUUAAUAUACUUGAGCCUUACCCUUUUGCAAAUUUGCUAUGCUUUUUCACUGAUAUGGCUUGUAUUCCUGCCAUCUUGUCUAACGCUUUGGACGCAUCAACAUCAAGCACUUACUCUCGCUGCAGCUUUAAGCGGCAGAAACGAUAUAAUUCAACGAAGAAUAUCAUCCGGUAGUUCACUGAUCACAUCCACGACUUGUUGCUCUCUGUUUUUGCACUUCUUCAGGCCAUUCAUCGAUCUAGAAUCAGAUGCAAGUUUCACCCUUCGGGGCCCCC